GCUGUUUGUGUGUACUGGGUCUUGAUCAUGGCAUUAAGAGGGGUAUAUAAUUUUGUACUUGUUUUUCAAGAAUUUUUAACUCAGUAAUCAGCACUUACGGUGACUCUCACUGUGAGGAAGACACCAUGGAAGUUCUGUAUGGAGAUGAGCUAAGAGAAUGAGCUUUGGAGUCUUCACUGUCAUUAGGGCCCUCUUAAUCAGGAUUCAGUAGUCAAAUUCUCUCUUAGGAACAUCAGCCUUGCCGUGCCAGCACUGGGUGAAACUCUACCGUUUUGAACUUCUGCUCUCGUGUCCAUUUUGCAGUGAAGGCAAUUGUGAGACAUCCUCCUGGAUGACAGUGUUGUCACAGGUCCCACGUGUCCUCUGCCCAAGAAACUCAACUAGAGCUCAGAGCUGUCCCUCAGGCUGAUGGGGAGCUACAGCAGAGGCCCGGCAUGCUGCAUCUCUCAAGGAGAGCAAGCAUGUGACAUUGGCCCAGGGCAGCUUCCCUCUGUGGGCCCCUGGGUCAGUGAUCCCCAGAACCACCCUCAGAUCUGAUGAUUUGCUGGGACUCAUAGAACUCAGAAAAGCAGUUCAACUCUUUGUUAUGGUUUAUCACAGCAGAUGGGUACAGCUCAAAAUCAGCAAAGGAAGGAAGUGCAUAGGCAGGGUCCGGGAGAGACAGGCACAAGCCCCUGGCUGCUCUCUCCGGGUGGAACUGUAUAGAUGGCGCUUCAUUCUCCCAACAACGAGUAAGACCAGGUACAAAGUGUUGCCAACUAGGAAAUUCACCCAAGCCUUGGUGUCCAGGGUUUUUAUUGAGGUUCAGUCACAUGGGCAU